rnacentral:rRNA from 1 species
GUGCUUACACAUGCAAGUCGAACGAUGAAGCUGGAGCUUGCUCCGGCGGAUUAGUGGCGAACGGGUGAGUAACACGUGAGCAAUCUGCCCUUGACUCUGGGAUAACUGCGGGAAACUGUAGCUAAUACCGGAUACUUUCCUCGCUGGGCAUCCAGCGGGGAAGAAAGAAUUUCGGUCAAGGAUGAGCUCGCGGCCUAUCAGCUAGUUGGUGAGGUAAUGGCUCACCAAGGCGACGACGGGUAGCCGGCCUGAGAGGGUGACCGGCCACACUGGAACUGAGACACGGUCCAGACUCCUACGGGAGGCAGCAGUGGGGAAUAUUGCACAAUGGGCGAAAGCCUGAUGCAGCAACGCCGCGUGAGGGAUGAAGGCCUUCGGGUUGUAAACCUCUUUUAGCAGGGAAGAAGCGAAAGUGACGGUACCUGCAGAAAAAGCACCGGCUAACUACGUGCCAGCAGCCGCGGUAAUACGUAGGGUGCAAGCGUUGUCCGGAAUUAUUGGGCGUAAAGAGCUCGUAGGCGGUUUGUCACGUCUGCUGUGAAAUUCCGAGGCUCAACCUCGGACUUGCAGUGGGUACGGGCAGGCUAGAGUGCGGUAGGGGAGAAGGGAAUUCCUGGUGUAGCGGUGGAAUGCGCAGAUAUCAGGAGGAACACNCAAUGGCGAAGGCACUUCUCUGGGNNCGUAACUGACGCUGAGGAGCNGAAAGCGUGGGGAGCGAACAGGAUUAGAUACNCCUGGUAGUCCACGNCGUAAACGGUGGGUGCUAGCUGUGGG